AGUGAACGCUGGCGGUAGGCCUAACACAUGCAAGUCGAACGGCAGCACAGUAAGAGCUUGCUCUUACGGGUGGCGAGUGGCGGACGGGUGAGGAAUACAUCGGAAUCUACUUUUUCGUGGGGGAUAACGUAGGGAAACUUACGCUAAUACCGCAUACGACCUACGGGUGAAAGCAGGGGAUCUUCGGACCUUGCGCGAUUGAAUGAGCCGAUGUCGGAUUAGCUAGUUGGCGGGGUAAAGGCCCACCAAGGCGACGAUCCGUAGCUGGUCUGAGAGGAUGAUCAGCCACAAUGGAACUGAGACACGGUCCAGACUCCUACGGGAGGCAGCAGUGGGGAAUAUUGGACAAUGGGCGCAAGACUGAUCCAGCCAUACCGCGUGGGUGAAGAAGGCCUUCGGGUUGUAAAGCCCUUUUGUUGGGAAAGAAAAGCAGCAGGUUAAUACCCCGCUGUUCUGACGGUACCCAAAGAAUAAGCACCGGCUAACUUCGUG
rnacentral:rRNA from 1 species